UACGGGGGGGGCAAGCGUUGUUCGGAAUUACUGGGCGUAAAGGGCUCGUAGGCGGCGCGGUAAGUCGGGUGUGAAAUCUUGGAGCUUAACUCCGAAACUGCAUUCGAUACUGCCGUGCUUGAGGACUGGAGAGGAGACUGGAAUUUACGGUGUAGCGGUGAAAUGCGUAGAUAUCGUAAGGAAGACCAGUGGCGAAGGCGGGUCUCUGGACAGUUCCUGACGCUGAGGCACGAAGGCCAGGGGAGCAAACGGG
rnacentral:rRNA from 1 species